rnacentral:rRNA from 1 species
UAAGUAGGGCGUGAAAGCGUGUGGCCCAACCAUAUACACAUGUCCUAAACUGCUAAGCUAGAAUCUGGAAGAGGUGGCUAGAAUUCCUUGUGUAGGAGUGAAAUCCGUAGAUAUAAGGAGGAAUACCGAUGGCGUAGGCAGGCCACUGGUCCAGUAUUGACGCUAAGGCACGAAAGCGUGGGUAGCAAACGGGAUUAGAUACCCCGGUAGUCCACGCCGUAAACUAUGGAUGCUA